rnacentral:rRNA from 1 species
UACGGAGGAUGCGAGCGUUAUCCGGAUUUAUUGGGUUUAAAGGGUGCGUAGGCGGGCUGUUAAGUCAGCGGUAAAAGCCCGGGGCUCAACCCCGGCGAGCCGUUGAAACUGGCUGUCUUGAGAUGUCGAGAGGUAUGCGGAAUGCGCAGUGUAGCGGUGAAAUGCUUAGAUAUUGCGCAGAACUCCGAUUGCGAAGGCAGCAUACCGGCGGCGAUCUGACGCUGAGGCACGGAAGCGUGGGUAUCGAACAGG